AUCAGCCCCAAAUCCUCUCCCCCGAGCCAAUCCUGUUCACCGAAGACUCCAGCCUCAUAAAUGUUGUGGCAUGCGGCAGUAGCACUUUGCUCUGGCGCUAGCUGUAGCUGGCAAAGGGCUUAAUUUCCUUGGAAUAGUCAGACGUAUGGUCUUUUGCGGACAGAGGAAAUAGUUCAAUUCUAGAGAAGUUGAACUAAAUAUCAUCACUUCCAUAACAGAUACAAUGUUCCAAUCUGGGUCAGGUGACACUCCCGCACAAGUAGCCCAGACUCUUCUCCUAGCUUCCCACCACUCUUCUCCAGAAACUCCUCCUGUUCUUUGGUUGGCUAGUGCCGUCGAAGUCGCCUUCUCCCCUUCUCAUCUCCUCCACCAGCGCCGCCGGCCGGAGUGAGAGAGCAAGGGAGUAUGUGCGUUUGUAGUUCCAGCUUGGAGGUUAUUGUUUGUAUCUGCUGCACUGCUCUGGAUGGCCUCCGCCCUUUUCCGGUCAUCUUCUCUGUCUCCGGCGGAUGAAUUUGAUGGGCAAAGCCAUCUUCUCCAGCCGGCUCCUCUUAUUCCUCCCUCCCUCUCCAAUAAAAGCUCCGCUUCGGCUCCAUGCAGAUCGAUUCCCCUUUUCUCCUCUCUUCCUUGCCAUAGAUCCAUGUCGAUUUAUUGCAGAUCUGGAUGCCUGGCCUUUGGUUCGUGGCUUGAUCUAGCUGCUUUCUUGUUGGCUUGGGAAACCAAAGCCUGCAGCAGUGCUCCCCCAUCUUUGGUGACCAUAAGCAGGCCAUCCUGUGGCUUUGUGGUUAGCCGAAAUCUUGAACAGUUGGAAUGUGGUUGCUCUGCAUCUGAUCUUCAGAGGUUGACGGGGAGCUCAAAGUUUGGAGACUUUUACUCUGUUGGUAGUUGAUGUGUGCUCAAGCUUCAUUACUGCUAUAUGUUUAUGUUAUCAUUUACAUUCUGAAGCUUGGGAUUAGGGGUGUUAUGUGCGUCAUCUCAAAGUGUUUAUUUUGCACUUCGGAGAUUAGAACAGUUGAUGAUCUUGCUAAAGUUGGUGGUUCUUGCUCGUUCGGGUUGAUUCGCCGAUUGCAGGUGAGAGAGCCAGUGUUGUUUGAUCCCUAGAUCCAACGAGUGAGGAAGUUUUAGAUUGAGCUCGAUGUUGCGUCUUUGAGAUCUACAACUCAAUCUUUGGAUACCUCUCGUGCACCUGCCUGCUCGAUGCCGAAAGAGUCGCUGGCGCUACGGAGAGCUUGCACAAAAGAGACAUUUGAAGAUUUCAACCAUGGCUGCGCGUCAGGGUUUUUUCAUCUGGCCCGCCAUCAGACUCUUGUUCAGGUGUGCCCGUGCGUUGCUACGGAACCCGGUGGCUGGAAUCAGCUGCAAGGGGGUGCGCAGGUGGUUGGCGAAGGCUGGUAAUGUCGGGACGCUUAGGGCGCUUGGGGAUGCGGUCAUGCGGCUGCACUGGGUUGCGAGGUCUAGUGAGGAGUUGACGCGGCGGGCAGAAUGGAGCAAGCAGCUCAUGGCGGCGUCAAGGUCGGCCGUCUCUCACGAGUCCGGCGGCUGGCGGCGGUGGAGGUGGUGGGAGAACAGGUGAAGCGGGUGGCGACGUGACGGCUUUGCUCGGAGUGCUGUGGCGUCGGUUGGCAUCGGUUGUAAGACGGAGGAGGAGAAAUCGGGCUGGGGGUGGAGGGGGAGGCUCGGGCAUGGGCUCACGCGGGCGCGGUGGCGUCGGUCGUAAGGUGGAGGAGGAGGAAUCGUGAAUAAGACGGGAAGGAGAAAAAAUAACGGGAAGUGGCAUAUUUGUUGUAAUUUUAACAAAGUUGACCUACCACGUCCGUGCCAAUCACCACCAACUCCAAUUUAAUAGAUAAUAGUAAGAUGCCCGUGCGUUGCUACGGAACAAAAAAAUUAUGUCAUACACACGUCAAGCAAGACAAAAGAUUUGGACAUCAAGUAAAUAAUUAACAA